GGCACCUCCCACUCCUGGGAACUUUGGCCCCAGCCCUGAGAUCAGCUCAGACAGAAGACUGCGAGGCAAAGUGCACAGCCUGGCAGGAAAGCAGCUGGGUCAUGAAGUUGGUGCAGACGGAACAGCCUAGCCUGCUCCUGCCCAGUGAGCUGGGUGAGCGGACACCAACCAGUGAGAACGAACAUGAGUGGCAGCAGUCACUGGUCAGUAGCCUAGGACUGUCCCCAGCACAAUUCAGGACCAUUCUGUCAGCAUGGCCCCAGGAACGUCACCAUCAAAGCCCAGGACUGCCUUUGUCAUAGUUCAGCACUGUCCUUCAUGCUUCAGGACUGUCCCCCGCCAUCACAGCCCAGGAACGGUCCCCCUUGUAAUGCAGUGCUGUCCUUUAUCUCAGCCAGGGACUGUCCCUAUCACAGCCCCAAAGGGUCUCAGUCAAAGCCCCAAAUUGUCCUCGUUGUGGCCCAGGACCGAUCCCAUCACAUGUAGGACUGUCCCAUGAUAGCCCAGGACUCUCCCAUCGCAGACCAAGACUGCUCAACGGCAGCUCGAGACUCUCCACCAUCACAACCCCAAACUGUCCCUGCCACUGCCCGGGACUCUCCCACCACAACCCAGAAGUGGCACCACCAGAGCCCAGAUGGUCCCAGUCACAGCCCAGCGUCAGUCACCCCAGACUCGGAACAGUAACAAUGUGCCCUGCUCUCCAUCAGGCUGGGGUAGGAGUCCCAGACGGGGUCAGGGGCAGAACUGGACGCGAACAACACUUCUCCCGGGGUGAUGCUGCCGCUGUGCAGGGCUCUACACAUCCCUUCUGUGAGCUGUUAGCGUUUCUUUCCUCGCUGAGAAACUGUGCUGUAAAAUCCCGCUCUCCAAAACUCUGCUGGUCGGCCGCUUCUGGGUAAGAAUGCACCGGGAGGAUCUGUCUCUGUGACAGUCGGAGGAGGGUCCCUUUCCAACCCUGAUGCGCAGCUUCGGAGAAGAGCUUGCAGGGACAGUCCACAUACAUCUUAACUUUCAGGGGCCUUGGGUCCAAUUCCCAGUCCAGACCUGAGAUCUGUGCCUUCGUCCUACCCGCACCCCUAGCAGUUCGGGGUGUCUUAUCCCGGCGCCCCCACAGGCUGGCUGUUAUCCCUUCCUUAACCGCCCCCACCCCACGCAGCCCUGUGCCUGUCCCAUUAACCGUACCCCCCUCCAUGUUUCCCUCCUACCUCCCGUUGAAGUCCCCGUCCCACCAACUACCUCCCUCCACCUCCCUCGCCCAUAAAGCCUCGAGCUCCUCUCCAAGGGGCCCCUCCUUCUCGGCGCCCGGCAGCGGAACCCGAGCGCCGGGGGCGCGACGCCGGACGGGGCCGGGAGCUAGUGGUCCACCCGGAAGUGGGCCUCCCCCGCCU